UCGGGAAUAUUGCGCAAUGGAGGAAACUCUGACGCAGUGACGCCGCGUGCAGGAGGAAGGUCCUACGGAUUGUAAACCUCUUUAGCCGGGGAGCAACGUGCGCCACGUGUGGCGCAGUGAGAGUACCCGGAGAAUAAGCAUCGGCUAACUCCGUGCCAGCAGCCGCGGUAAUACGGAGGAUGCGAGCGUUAUCCGGAUUUAUUGGGUUUAAAGGGUGCGCAGGCGGCGCGAAAAGUCAGCGGUCAAAGUUCCGGGCUCAACCCGGUGACGCCGUUGAAACUUUCGGGCUGGAGUUCGUGCGAGGGAGGCGGAAUGCGUUGUGUAGCGGUGAAAUGCAUAGAUAUGACGCAGAACCCCGAUUGCGAAGGCAGCUUUCCAGCACGCGACUGACGCUGAGGCACGAAAGCGUGGGGAGCGAACAGGAUUAGAUACCCUGGUAGU
rnacentral:rRNA from 1 species